GUGACCCUUCUAAAGCUUUUAAGAGGAACCAUUCAGUAAAGAUUUCUAGCUACUGAAGUGUUACCAACUGAUCCACAGUGAUGUGCAGAAGAAUGGGAGCUUACGCUCAGCCUGUUACUGCUCAGGAUCAGUACCUGGUAUCACAAGCUUGAGGCUGCACUGAAUAUCAAGACAGACCUUGCAGGAUUGAGCUCCCAAAACACAGUCCGGAAUCAUAGAAUCAUAGAAUAUCCUGAGUUGAAG